rnacentral:rRNA from 1 species
GAUCACGCGGGAAUCUUACCGGGUCCGGACACACUGAGGAUUGACAGGUUCCGAGAGUUUUUGCUUCGGCAAUGCUCUCUUAAAUAUGAUAGUCCUUUCAUGAUUAUGUGAUAGGUGGUGCAUGGCCGUUCUUAGUUCGUGGAGUGAUCUGUCUGCUUAAUUGCGUUUCACUAAAGGCGUCAUAUCUGUUUUGUUGCGUGUUUGACCCCUCUUCGGAGCGCGUGUCUUCACGCACAAUUACUUUGGCGUCUGAAAGCAACGAACGUGACCGUAACCUCUUGUUGCCUUCUCUUCUCCUCGGAGAAUGCUGUUUGUUUUUGCAGGCAGUAUAUGGAGGCUUUUUUACUCAACAACUAGAGGGACCGCUGUUUCUUUCUUUAAACCAGAGGAAGGAUACGGCAAUAACAGGUCUGUGAUGCCCUUAGAUGUUCCGGGCUGCACACGUGAUACAUUGAUUACUUCAGUGAGUAUCUACGUUUUACUGCGUGGCAUUGCAAUGCAUAUUUCUUCGGAAGUGUGUUUUUGUUUGCCGCCUCAACCUGCUUCGAAAGCAUGCGGGUAACCAAUUAGAAGUAGUGAUUUCCUUUUUUAUAAGCACACUAAUAUGGGGCAUCAUCACCCGGCAUGCCUUGUUGUAUGUUUUGUGUGUGGUGUUUGCUUUUCCAUGUGCUUUUGUCAAUUCAUAGUGGGGAUAGACCAUUGUUAAUUGUUGG